UCCUUCGCCCAGCCGCUCAUUUGGGAUCCAGCUGCAGUCCUCGCCGCCACCUUCUCCUUCUCCCAGCUGGCCGCCCCCUUUCUUUGCAGCUUGACAUAAAGAUUAGCAUGUGUGUGUGUCCUGCAGCUCGAGAGGGACAAAAUAGGAGGUCACCAUGAAAUGUCGAAAGAGAAAGAGAGGCCGUAAGAGUGGAUCAUUCAUUUGUCAUUGGUUUCUCAUCACUUAUCCAAUACUUUCUUUGUUGCUAUCUUCUGAUGAUAUACUGACUUGCAAUAUCUAUAUUCUCAAUAUGUAAAUACGCAAGGGAGUGGAUACCAGUAUAUUACUCUUUCCGUCCAUAUAAUCAGAUGGUUGUCUGUCAAUUUUAUAAAAUUCUUUGGAUUUGCUCAAUAUGUGUCAUGUACCUAGGACCAUUCACUCCAAUGUGGUAUGAGUACAUUUAUUUUCUAAUUGUUCUUGGUUUGAUGUCAAGGCGUACUCAUUCUUGAAAUCUAUGUGGCUUUUUCAGAAACACUAUGUUCCAAGAAGUUUAUUCAAGAGAGCUGGGCAUAUAGGUCCGUCAUGACUGGCAAUGCCCUACAGGACGGCUUGGUUGAUGCAAUCCGUGUAUCCCUCACGGAUCCACUUGGAACUCAUGCUGCAGACCAUCAAUUAGGUGUGGAUAACCAUACUCAAGUCUGGUAGUGCGAUGGCUCCUGUAGAACUAAUCUCUGCACAAUUUGUUUCAAUGAGCACCCAGGUAAUUCAGAUGCUCCAUUUGAUUCUUGGACACUCUCCCUGCUGCUCAUUUCACAAC